GGCAGCUGCCGGUCCGCUCAGCUGACCGCCGUCACGCACCGCCCCGCCUCCUCCGCGGGGAUUUCCCGAGCUCCGCGCUUCCGCCCCGACCCGGGUGCUGUGGGGCCCCGGCUUAACCUGGCGCGAUGGAUGGCAGCCCUGCAGAAGGCUUGGAACCGGGUGAUCUUUAAGUCUGUGUUGCCUUCUUGCUUCUAACUGGUGCUGUGGUAGCUGCUGGAAACUCCUGAUUUUGGCCAGGAUCCCAUAGAUACUGUACAGACAGCUCAAAGACUUACUACUCUUUUAGUACACACUGAAUGGAUGACUCCUUUUACAACUGCAAUUAUAUAACACUUCCAUGCAAUGACACAGAAGAGAAAAAACAGUGCCUCUAGUGCAGCUUUUAGAUGAUCUAAUUCUGAGCUUGCUGGUGGCACCAAUUCUCUUUCCAGAUCAUCAUCAACUGAAUAGGUCAGGAGCUCCGGAAUACCGUACGUGUUUAAAAACACGGGCAUCUUUGCCCUUUUCUUUUGCUGUAUCUGAGUGUGAAAUUUGGACCAAGUAGGCAGCAGACUGAGAAAAUAUCUGAAGCCCUUUGGAAUGUGCUGCUGCUACUGCCAAGAACAGUCAUGCCAGGAAAACACAGGCAAAUCAAGAGCAAACGUGACCAAGUGCUAGAAGCAGGGAGAGAGCUUCGCUUUUGACUAAGGAUGGUCAAAAGUAAAAGUGGGACUAUUUUAGGGAGUUACUGAGUGGAAAUUGGAGAAUCGUGGUAAGAGGAAACUGAAAAGGGGGGUUCCAGGCUAAAUGGAGCUUUCGUGAACAGGCAAAGAGGGAUGACUGAGCUUGCUGAGAGAGAACUCUAAGAAGAAAUCAUGCCAGAAUGAGGCCAAGGAAAACUGUAUUCUAAAAGUACAGUGACAAAGUGAAAUAGCAGAAAAUCUCUUGCAAAUAACCCUAAUACAACCCUGUCUUUAUCCUGAAAUGCUUUCUUGUUCAUCACUAGAAGAGAACAGUGUCUGUAGCUCCAUACCACUGUACAGCCCACAGGGGGAGGUGACCCAUGCUCCCAUCAUUCAUUUUAGAAUACAGAACCAUGUUGCAAAGAGAUGGUCAAAACAGCAGUGUUCAGAAGCAUGGCAUGAUUUAAAAGGCAGAACUCUCAAAUAAAGCCUGGUGGCAUAUGUGUUUUAACAAGUUCUUCAUAAAUCUUACCAUCUAAAUCCUUUUGAAAAUCCAAUUCUGAUAUUUUUAGUUGGAAACAUUCUUUGUUUUCACCUCAAAUGGCUUGCUGUGACAUUUGGUUGAAGGUCUCAGUGUGACUCCACAAGCUGCUCUCUUACUAGGUCUGGAAAUGCCACUUUUGUUGUGCAUUCACAACUAUUUCCCCUUCUAGACAAUCUGAGGAGGGAAGAAUUGCUAUCAUAGUGAAUUGUGCUGCAUGGGCAUUUUUGACAGGAUGUGGCAAAGACCACAUCAGGUGUUACAAACCACCAAAAGAACAAUUAUAGUCGUGUUUUGAAAGUUGUGACAGUACAGAGUUUGCCCUAAAGACAGAUGACACCCAUGAUAGGAGCCAGGUGUUUGGUUUUCGUUUUUCUGGAGCAUGUUUGAGUUCUGGGAGUUGUGGGCCCCUCAUAGUACUCCAGAGAGCUGUGCACCAGACUAGGGCCAUAUCCUCCUCUUGGUCUUGUGGCUGCUGCUGAAUAGAAAUGAAGAUUGCAAACACAUCUCCCGAAUUGUGGUAUCUCACUAAUCACUGUGUGAACCUUGUGUUGUAGUCUGGAAUUAUUUCUGCGAUGGCUGAAGGAACACCACAGCGUAUUCGAGAAUGCACCUGCUGCAAGGAGGCAUGGACUGAUGAGUUUCCAGCCAUAUUCAUCUUUUUUUUUUUUUUUUUUUCCUUGACCAAGUGACAAGAAUAUUGUGAAGAAUUUGGUUUGCAAGAGAAAGAAGAGAAGGUGAAUUCCGAGGCUAUUCAAGGCUGUGAAGAGACUUCAAAUGUUGGCAGAUAACUGCUUUUCAGACAGGUGAGGGCGCUCAGCCCUUUUUAAAAGAAGUUGGUGUGAGUCUUGAGACACAGCGCUGAAAUACACUUGUGAUUGGACCAAUGCUGUGCUGCUACUGAACAAAGACUGAGUAGGGGGUUAGGCUCUAACACUGCUAACAACUGAAAAAUAAAAGGCCCAGAGCUGCUUAAAUAGCUGCUGAUGUGCUUCAGCACAAGCACGAAUUAAAUGCCUUAAUUUUAAUGGUAACUUGAAAGAAGACUGAUCACAGAUUUCCCCGUAUGGAGCAGCGCGGUUUUAUUUAUUUAUUACAAUUUCAAGUAUCUCCAUAAAAGUAAACCUGGAGGAAGAUGUUAGGAUAACAUACCUGGAUAUUUAUAUUCAGUGUGAGACUUUCAUCUCACACUUCCCUCUUACAGUGGUUCCAUCCUUGCCUUUGUGAUCUGCCUCUUGGCAUGAGACCCCUAAGCCAAUGCCAUCCUCUAUAGCUGCUCCAAAUUUCCCAGCAAAAGGACCUCUGUUGCACUGGGCUCUGUGUGGUGGGGGACAUCUGUCCACUUCUGGAAACAAACACACCCAGAUCAUAUUACUGUAUUGUUUUUAGGUAAUUUAGAUCUGGUUUAUAUUACCCUGUUUUCUCUGGCUUCACAUUUAUCUUCAAUUGGUUGCUGUAGCUCACCCUAAAACCCCCCUGUGAUUUUUGUUUAUUCACCAUUCUUCAUUAGCAAAUGCUUAGACUUCAGUUCUUGUAAAGCUCCUUAGGACAUGAAGCAGUGCUUCUGAGUUGUUAACCAUUAUUAUUACCAGUAGUGGCAUAAAUAAAAAUAGAAUCAUAGACUCACUCAGGUUGGAAAAUACCUUAAAGAUCAUUGAGUCCAACCACAACCUAACCGUAUUACCCUAACAACCCACCACUAAAUCAUGUCCCUGAGCACCACAUCCAAACGGUUUUUAAACACAUCCAGGGGUGGUGACUCAACCGCCUCCCUGGGGACCCUAUUCCAAUGCUUAACAACCCUUUCUGUAAAGAAGCGUUUCCUGAUAUCCAACCUAAUGAAUGUAUUCUGCUGAAGUACACUUAUUACAUACACUUAUUUUUAUUUACCAAAUCAUGGAAUUGUAGGGGUUGGAAGGGAUCUCUAGAAAUCAUCAAGUCAACCCCCAUUUACUAAAGCAGGUCCCUUAUAGCAGCUCGCCCAGGCAGGUCUUGAAUAUCUCCAGAGGGAGAGACUCCACAACCUCUCUGGGCAGCCUGUUCCAGUGCUCCAUUAAUCUGACAGUGAAUGAGUUCUGCCUUGUGUAGUAUGGAACUUCUUGUGUUCCAGUUUCUGGUGUCAAUUUAAGUCAUUACCGGUAUGAAAAUCUUGCCAGUUGGAUAUCUCAUGUCCUCAAGAUGAAAUAUUAAUCUAGUUAUCAUGGCCAUGAUUUCUAUAUUUGUUUUAUCUCUAAAGGUUCACCUUGUUUUGGGGAAUUAACAAUUAUUAUGUCUAUCUAUUGCUAUGUCUCCCACCCAUGGAGAUCCACAGAGACUCUGCUUUUCAGAUA